rnacentral:lncRNA from 1 species
UGUGAUUAAUGUUUAAAUCAAUAGACUUUGAGCAAAGCAGAUGACCUUCCAUAAGGUGGGUGAACCUUAUCUAAUCAGUUGAAGGUCUUCAGAAAAAAGACCGAAGUCCCCAGAAGAAGAAGGAAUUCAACUUCCAGACUGCCUUUGGACUCAAGACUGCAACAUGAACAACUGCCAGCAUUUCCAACCUACUGGCCUGCGCUGCAAAUUUUGAACUUGCCAGCCUCCAUAACUCACUUGUUCCUGAUGAUGGAUGCUCCAAAGAUCCAGGACCCUGAGUGAGAACAAUGUGGAACAGAGUCCCUCACCAAUCCAGAAUGAAGUGGAAAUUGGAAGACCUGGAGCCCAUUAGAGGACAAUUCUUUUGCCUCCAAGGGUUGUAACUUUUCCCCAGCAGAUACUGGACUCCAUCGUGCAGACAACCUUCUUUAGUGAGAAAAUGCACAACUGACUUCCAAUCAGCUAACAUUUCUUCCCUGCUUGAGUCAUGACUGAGUUAU